rnacentral:misc_RNA from 1 species
AACAAGGCGUACCUGCGGACCUGCGGAGGGAUCAUUACCGAGUUUACAACUCCCAAACCCCUGUGAACAUACCUAUACGUUGCCUCGGCGGAUCAGCCCGCGCCCCGUAAAACGGGACGGCCCGCCCGAGGACCCCUAAACUCUGUUUUUAGUGGAACUUCUGAGUAAAACAAACAAAUAAAUCAAAACUUUUAGCAAUGGAUCU